GUUUUAUGUCCUGUGUUGGUUGUUGUGGCGGUCAGUACAAGUUUUGUUGAUAUUAUUUUGUAGCCGCUCCAUCAGAGGAAGGGGAACGCACCUGGGAAGUGUUUAGGCAAGAGGCCUGCGGGAAUACAUAACCCGUAGUAUUGAAUCUGUCUCUGCACACUAGGACAAUGACCCAACACACCUCCAGGCUGUAAAGGGGCUACUUGACCAAGAAGGAGAGUGAUGGAGUGUUGCAUCAGAUGACCUGGCCUCCAAUCACCUGACCUCAACCAAAUUGAGAUGAGUUGAACCGCAGAGUGACGGAAAAGCAACCAACAAGUGCACAGCAUAUGUGCGAACUCCUUCAAGACUGUUGA